AUUUGGAAUCUACAUCAGGGAGGUGACUGUCAAGCCUACCACUGGUGCCAUCGUCUGGAGACAAGUGGGGGAGAAAAGGAGACACAGGUGGAGAAACUAGAGAGGAGAGUGCAGGUCGAAGACAAUGGUGUCAGGAAGACUUAGCAUGGUGAUAUUGGCAGUUUUUAGCACAUUUCUUUUUUCAAUGAGCAUCAGCAGUAAUUAUGGUGGCUGAACAACAAGGGUUUAGUAAUAGAAACCAGAUGAAUGAAGCCAUCAUGGAAUCCUCUCUGUGCGAGAUGAUGUUCAGAAGAGGAAGCUGCUUCACAGAUAACAAUGUGGAAAUGUGAAGAUGGUCAAUAUUAAAUCAAUGGCAUUUAUUCAUGAAAACCAGCCUUCCUCUCACCCCUUGAAGCUGAUCAAGAACAACAUUUUGGUCCAUGUUUCCCUCUAGUGGAAUCUUACAGAAGCCACUGAAUAAGAUGGUCAUUUGGUACUCUUAAACAUCUGCAGUGUAAAGUGAGAAAAAUUUUGAAAACUCGUUAUCCUGUAUCCUUCGAAAAUGGUGAUGCAGGUUUGCAAAGGAACAUCAUAGCAGGAUUAACUAAGAAAAGAAGAUAUUCUCCCAGAGUGGGCAGCAUGUUAUACCUAUAGCCCAAAUAUAAGAAAGUUUGAGGAAAAAAAAAUGCAUAUAAAGGAAGCACAUGGAUUCCGCUCAUCACAGUGAAGGAGUUGGUAUGCAGCAGGAGUCUGUGAUGUCAACCAGAUGAAGGAGACAUAAUUCUCUUAUUUAGCAAACAGCCAAAGACUCAUCACAACUGUGAAUUUGUUGUCAGAUGAACAUUUGUUUACAUUUCUAAUAUCUUAACGAUUAUGAAAGAUGGUGACAAGAUAAUGUACAAAUAUUCUUGUGGGUUAAAAAUAAUGUGUAUAAGAAGGAAUGGCUAAUGUUUUUCUGUCAAUGUUAGUAAUAUAAGAGUAUUUGAGAAGAUACCAAGUGAGCCCUAAGCACUAACAAAUCCCACAGUAUAGAUACACUUCAGUAAACAUGACAAAACAUACAUACAAAACUUAUUUAAGGGGCACUGUGGUCAUUAGAGUCAAAGAUUCCUAGAAUCCAAAGCUGUUCCCUAGAUUCAUUUAUUUUCAUUUUUUGAAAACAACACAAAGAGCAAACAAACAAACCAAAACAAAACUAUAGCAAUAUAUUUCUGUGGUUAAUGCUGGUUAUUUAUUUAUUUAUUUAACUUUUCUGGGAAGUAAGCAAAGUUUUAGGGCUUAACAAUAUUUGAAACUGAAUAAUAUCUUAUUCCUUGUGAGUUAAGACACCUUCUUUUUCAGGUUUCAAUAUUUCUUUCUAACUUCGGGAACAAUCCACAAACUAUAUCCCAAGUAAUGAAAGUAGUGAUGUUAAAAUUAAUUACUCAAGAAAAUCAGAUUUCAUUAUUUUAAAAGAUCACCUCUGAAUGACUAUAUCCCAAAUUGUAAGAAAAAAAACCAUAAAUCCCUAUUUAUUUUCAACCUAAAUAGAAAAUAAAUAUAAGUAUGCAUUGAUUUGUAUAAUAUUUGAUUAAGCUUACUAAGUAAGUGCAGUAACACACCAGAUAGACAUGGUUAUAGAUGAUGCAGUGGACCACUUUUACCAAUGGUAUAUAUUUCUGCACUAUAGUUGCUAAAGUUACUAUAGGCUAGUGAGGCUCAGGAAAUAACAUGUCUCUUGGUUUUAGCAUACUAUUAAUCACUUACUCAAAUAAUGGUGAGUAGUUAAAUAAUUUUAUUUAUCAUUAACUGUAACUUACUGGAUUAUUCAUACAAUGUACAUUUGUGUGGCAACCAUCAUUUUAUUUGUUUGAACAUUUACUGUGUAUCUAUCAAUAAAGCAUAAUCAUUAAUAAAAAAAUAAAACAAC
rnacentral:lncRNA from 1 species